GGGAGCUGGGGGUCUGGGGAGGAGGCAGGUGGGAGCUGGGGGUCUCGGGGAGGAGGUGUGAGCUGGGGGUCUCGGGGAGGAGGUGUGAGCUGGGGGUCUCAGGGAGGAGGUGUGAGCUGGGGGUCUCAGGGAGGAGGUGUGAGCUGGGGGUCUGGGAGGAGGUGUGAGCUGGGGGUCUGGGAGGAGGUGGGAGCUGGGGGUCUGGGAGGAGAUGGGAGCUGGGGGUCAGGAGGAGGAGGUGUGAGCUGGGGGUCUGGGGAGGACGUGGGAGCUGGGGGUCUGGGCAGAGGAGGGUCACAGAAGCAGGACAUGACUUGGGACAGGGCAGAGGCUUGUGCAGGCACAGGGCUGGGAGCCGGGCCACAUUCCCUCCUUGGUGUGGGGUGAGGGGCACCCCAGCUUGGGGACAGGGGCGCUGGCACUCAGGCAGCCCCGACGUUGUCCUGGGUUCACUGUGCUGGGGCGGGGGCUCCUACUGGGGCUCUGUGGUCCCACAGCCAAAGCCCCGCUUUCCUAAUCACACGUUGGGGCUUCGGCAGGAACCUCAGCAGGACCUCGGGGGGACCUCGGCAGGAACCUCGGUGGGGACCUCGGUGGGGAGCUUGGCGGGG
rnacentral:lncRNA from 10 species